UACGUAGGGUCCGAGCGUUGUCCGGAAUUAUUGGGCGUAAAGGGCUCGUAGGCGGUCUGUUGCGUCGGGAGUGAAAACUUACAGCUUAACUGUGAGCGUGCUUUCGAUACGGGCAGACUUGAGGCAUUCAGGGGAGAACGGAAUUCCUGGUGUAGCGGUAAAAUGCGCAGAUAUCAGGAGGAACACCGGUGGCGAAGGCGGUUCUCUGGGCCGAUACUGACGCUGAGGAGCGAAAGCGUGGGGAGCGAACAGG
rnacentral:rRNA from 1 species